GAAUACACAGAGGAAAGAGGGAAAGAAGGAAAGAAAAAGAAGGGACUCUGGCCUUUGUGGCAAUUUGCUUGGACCUACAGUGCAUUAUUCUAAGUGAAGAAAAGGACACGUGUUAUGUUGAUGGGAAGGAACAGGAAGGGGAGGCAUGGCCAAAGAGGAAAUACUGGACAAUAUUUCCUGGAAAGAAAGGAGUUAGAAGGUAGUUCCAAGCAUCCGCAGGAAUCUCCCUGAGAAAACCUAUUUUGUUCAAAGUAAAUGGAUGCUAGAAAUGUGAGAUUCCCAGGGAAAUUGCCACAUCUUUCUUGAAAAGGAGAGGAAAUCUAAUAGAUCACACAGCGUCCAGUCGUGUGGAUGUUGUCAGCCUUGCCCUGAGGCCGGGCUACAAACCAGCUGCCAUAUGCAACUGUCCCUGUCAUGCUGUGUCACUGAGCCAGGCAUGGUGUCAUCCUCCUCAGAGCUGAUGAAGAUCGUACAGAAUUUCAUACCAAAGGGCUCACCUACCGGAAGGAAUUAAAUUCUCCAGUGUGAGUUUGAGUGGCCUCCCAUGGAGGUCUGUCUGCAAGAGCUGCCCUCUCCUCACCAGGUCUGCGGACUCCAUCAGGCGUCUGUGACUACAGCGAAGCCAGCUGGCUGGGCCCUGCCUGCAUUCCUGUCCCAUUCCUGUCCAGCUCUGUGUAUUUGUAGUCAGCCCUGUUGAGCAUACUCCACUGUGCACAUCAGAAAGAGAUUGUCCAGGGCACGUCUCUGCCGUCUGGUCGUCUCUGCUCUGCCCUCCUGAAGUAAGUCCUUCGUUUUGUUUCUAGAACCUUGAGGCCUUGUCACUUGACGUGAACCCCGGCGGCCACUCUUUGCAGGAUAAAGCAUUUCUACCCCAGUGGUUCUCUCACUCUGGCCGGCUCGCUCCUCCCUAAGUCUGCCUGUGUAGGAUGGGAUGAGAGAGCGUGGAUGGGAGCACGCAGCCUCAGAAGACAGGUUUCCCGUGGCCAAUACCUCCUGCACAAUUACUCAGUUAAUCAGCGUGCUAAGCCUCUACCCCCAGUGUUCCCAGUUGUGCGUGACAGCGUGGAGGAGACUUGAGAAGGACACUCACAGACCCAGACUCGGCAGGGUUUAUGAGCUAGUUGAACAGAUGAAUGAACAAGUAGGUGAGAAGUAAUUUGACCCAAGUUCCAGUCUGGCCUCUGUCACUAAUUGUGUGAGUUGGAGGUUUAGAGAGAUGAGGCAUAAAAGUAUAAAACGUAUCCCUUUGGAUUAUUGUGAAGGCUAAUUAAGAAGACGAUGCCUGAAGACACACAGUAAAAACCUUCCCUCCUGUGAGCAUUGGGUCAGUAAGCACCCAACCAAGUUCACAGAACAUUCUGAGUUUUGGGAACAGGGACAGCAAUGCUCACAAUUUGCCCCUGGUGGGAGGAACCCUGUGAAGACCACAGGGCAAGCGAGGCAGCACUUCGAGGCCCUAUCAUUCUUGGGCUGGAGGCAAGACGGAGGAGUCUGUGUUAGAUUCAGGGUCACCCAGUGCAAGACGGAGCCACAGGGUCAACGGAGUAAGGGCUGGAGCCACAAAGAGGCUGCCGUUCCGGCUGGAGAAGGAAACCUUGCUACGGACAGAGGGAAAGAAACGCUCUGGUUUCUCCUUUGCACCUGCACUCCCAGUCUUCAAGGAAUGCUGAGUCCGUCAUCCUAAUCCAGCCGAGGCCAGCUUACUUGGACCCUGGGCAGCGCAACUGGAAAGACUUGGGCUUCAUCUCCCUGACCCUGCAGCUCUACACACACAGAAGGGCAAGGAUGCCCGGCCUGGCACAAGCCCUCGCUGUGGAUGUUUGCGUGGGGACAGGAACGCCCCUGCUGGGGCCUCAGAAGGUCUUGUGCGAGUCCUAGGGAGGGUUCUGUUUUUGCCAGGACCUGUACCGCCACUCUACACAUGCCUCGAAUGCAAACAGUGCAUGUUCUCCUUGUGAGGGACAAGGAGUUAAUGAUUCUGUAGAAGACGGCACAUCUAAAGAAAGACCAGGUGAGAAUGACCAGACAAAGCCAUCGCAUGCGUAUUCCAGACCGCCAGAGCUGGACAACUCAACACAAGACCCCCGGCUUCAGGUAGUAUUCCGUAAGACUCGCUGGCUGGGAGUCACUUCAAGGCUAAGGGCUGAAAUCGGGAAUAUCUUCACACAUAUGGCUGGCAUUGGGACUUUUCACCAGAAUACCUCCAGGGAGCCCUUCCCCAUGGUCCAUUCUUCACAGCAUGGAGGCCUCGGGGUAUAUGGACUUCUAACCGACUCACUUCAAAUACAUGUGACCCAGGAGAACUAAAUGGACACAGUGAGGUCUCUUGUAUCUUGCCUUAGAGCUUAGGUGUCAUUUUAAUGGCCAAGAGUGAGUUGUUAGAGUUGAUCCCAAUUGAAGGCAAGGGGACAUAGAUAUCAUCUAUCAGUUGGAAGAGUGUCAAUUAAUGUGCAGAAAUGUUCAGAACUCCUCAUAGCUAGUUACGUGGCUCCAACAUAACUCACAAAUGUUUUCUUACGUGCUCAGAAAGAGGAAAAUGAAACUGGGUUUGGUGAACAUAUUACAAGUAGAUACAGCAGCAUUUUUAUCAUUUAUUAAAAACCCUAUUCUAAUUUACAUUUUUAAAUUUAUUUUUGAGGUGGGGGGAACGGCAGAG